UUAAAAAAUAAGUCAAUAGGAUAUCAGCCCAAAAAGUCUAAAACAUUCCUCCGAGAAGACAUUUACAAAUUUUUGAUGCAAGCUCCGGACCAUAAUUAUCUUAUGCAAAAGGUUGCUUUAAUAUUUGGAAUUGCCGGCGCUCUGCGGAGGGAAGAAUGAUAUAAAAUGAAGUGUGAAGAUGUGAACGACACUGGUAACGUUUUAAUUAUCACGGCACCCGACACUAAAAUACAUAUUGAACGAAGAUUCACAGUUAUUGGAGAAACACCCAAACAUAAUUUAAACUUGAUAGACAUUUAUAAAAAAUACAAAAAUCAACGACCGACAAAUGUUAAAACCGAUCACUUCUUUUUGCAAUAUAGACAGGGAAAGUGCAAAACACAAGUCGUAGGAAUAAACACCUUUUCAAAAAUUUCUUCACAAAUCGCAACUUAUUUAAAUUUACCGGAUCCAUCAAGCUACACUGGACAUGCAUUUCGUCGCUCUUCGGCGUCUCUUUUGGUAGAUUCUGGUGGCGAUUUAAUGCAGUUGAAGAAACACGGUGGAUGGAAAUCCAGCACAGUUGCCGAAGGUUACGUGGACGAAUCAAUCCAAACUAAAAUGGAUUCGGCAACAAAAAUUUUGGCAGGAACUAGUUCCACACCGACUGCAAGCGACUUGUCCACAAGUGUCUACAAUCCUACAGUUAAUUCUACUACGCACAAGUAGGAAAUAAGACUACAAAUGUAGACGAAGUAAAUUCUUUGAGCAAAUCAAUCGUUUGCUCUUCUCUACAAAUCAAUAACGCUCAAAGUUGCACUUUCCAUAUUUCAAUUAAUAAAGACAUUUGAAUUAA